GCCAGAAUGUGAGUGCAGACAAUAAUCUUUCCAACUUAAAAAAGAAACUACUUUAAAAUAAGUGAGAUCAAAAGAUACUCAGGCUUGUCAUGUUUACUCUUACAGGGAAACAUAUUUUAAUCCUAAAAUGUUUACUUGUUUGUAAGACCAGUGUUUCCUUGAGAAUGGCCUCUUAAGAGCACAACUUUAAAAGCUUUGUCUAUGAAAAAUGACAGCAAAAGUCUUUGUCGAAAGAAAGUUAUUCUAUAAUAUAUGAAAAUACAGUGAGCACACGUUUAUUAUUUCAAACUACAUUCCAGUGGCUGAGUGAGCCUGUGAACCAGUGUACUAGAAAGCACAGUUAUUACUAAACACUGGCAUAGCACAAAAGGUGAACAGCUAGAAACGUUUAUAAAAAGAAAUUGAGAAGGAAGAGCGGCUCGGCUGUCAGAUGGAUUCUUGGCUUACACGAACAGAGACAGAUCCUCUCUGGGAACACCUGCCAGCUUCUUGUUUUAGCCAGAUCUAAAAAGGUAAACAAUAUAUUUUUGCCACCAGAGCUCAAGACUGUUUCUACAAACCCUAAAUGCUGCAGCUGUUUAUCCAUAAAGUGGGAAGGUAGUUGAUGAAACCAGAAUAUGAGAACGGACACGCACAGUUAUAUGCCAGGAUGUUCCAGUUAUCAGAAAUGAUAUGCACGCACAAACACCUGGAAUCGCUUACCUAAAUGGUACUGACUACAUGGAAAAUAAUUGGCACAGCAAAGAGCCAGUAUAUCUUGAAGCCUGUGCUUUUCUCCUGAAAUGUUUUUUUGAAGAAACUCAUACACUGAGCUGAUAACCUGUUACACUCCUGCCUACAAUGUGCUUUGAAGAAUUUACUUUUCUAGGCCUUCCCUCUUUGUAAAGCUGUUGUUAUCUUGAUGUAAAGGCAGAGGUUAUGUGUGGGUGAAAUUCACUGUUGAGAAAAAAAAAUGAAUUCUUUUCUCAGUUUAUGGUAUACAUAAAAAUCUGUUUCUACA
ensembl:lncRNA